GAUGAACGCUGGCGGCGUGCCUAAUACAUGCAAGUCGAACGCUGGAAAUCUAGCUUGCUAGAUUGCAGGAGUGGCGAACGGGUGAGUAAUACAUAAGCAACCUACCCACGAAGUCUGGGAUAAUCUCUGGAAACGGGGACUAAUACCGGAUAGGUAAUCGGAAGGUAUCUUCUGAUUAUUAAAGGUUAAAAACACUGGUGGAUUGGCUUGUGGCGCAUUAGUUCGUUGGUGAGGUAACGGACCACCGAGUCGAUGAUGCGUAGCCGGCCUGAGAGGGUGAACGGCCAGAUUGGGACCGGGACCAGGCCCAGACUGCUACGGGCGGCAGCCGUACGGGAGGUAGGGGAAUGGGGUAAAGCCUGACGGGGCAAAGCCGGGUGCAGGAUGACCGCGUUCGGGAUGUCAAGCUUUGGUGUAAGGGAAGAACGGGAGAUAGAGGAUAUGUAAGUGACGGUACCUUACCAGAAAGCCACGGCUAACUACGUG
rnacentral:rRNA from 1 species